rnacentral:rRNA from 1 species
GACGGAGGAUGCAAGCGUUAUCCGGAAUGAUUGGGCGUAAAGCGUCCGCAGGUGGCAGUUCAAGUCUGCUGUCAAAGACCGGGGCUUAACUUCGGAAAGGCAGUGGAAACUGAACAGCUAGAGUAUGGUAGGGGCAGAGGGAAUUCCUGGUGUAGCGGUGAAAUGCGUAGAUAUCGGAAGGAACACCGGUGGCGAAAGCGGCACGCUGGGCCUCUUCUGACGCUGAGGCGCGAAAGCCAGGGGAGCAAACGGG